rnacentral:rRNA from 1 species
AUGAACGCUAGCUACAGGCUUAACACAUGCAAGUCGAGGGGCAGCAUGGUCUUAGCUUGCUAAGGCCGAUGGCGACCGGCGCACGGGUGAGUAACACGUAUCCAACCUGCCGUCUACUCUUGGACAGCCUUCUGAAAGGAAGAUUAAUACAAGAUGGCAUCAUGAGUCCGCAUGUUCACAUGAUUAAAGGUAUUCCGGUAGACGAUGGGGAUGCGUUCCAUUAGAUAGUAGGCGGGGUAACGGCCCACCUAGUCUUCGAUGGAUAGGGGUUCUGAGAGGAAGGUCCCCCACAUUGGAACUGAGACACGGUCCAAACUCCUACGGGAGGCAGCAGUGAGGAAUAUUGGUCAAUGGGCGAGAGCCUGAACCAGCCAAGUAGCGUGAAGGAUGACUGCCCUAUGGGUUGUAAACUUCUUUUAUAAAGGAAUAAAGUCGGGUAUGCAUACCCGUUUGCAUGUACUUUAUGAAUAAGGAUCGGCUAACUCCGUGCCAGCAGCCGCGGUAAUACGGAGGAUCCGAGCGUUAUCCGGAUUUAUUGGGUUUAAAGGGAGCGUAGAUGGAUGUUUAAGUCAGUUGUGAAAGUUUGCGGCUCAACCGUAAAAUUGCAGUUGAUACUGGAUAUCUUGAGUGCAGUUGAGGCAGGCGGAAUUCGUGGUGUAGCGGUGAAAUGCUUAGAUAUCACGAAGAACUCCGAUUGCGAAGGCAGCCUGCUAAGCUGCAACUGACAUUGAGGCUCGAAAGUGUGGGUAUCAAACAGGAUUAGAUACCCUGGUAGUCCACACGGUAAACGAUGAAUACUCGCUGUUUGCGAUAUACUGCAAGCGGCCAAGCGAAAGCGUUAAGUAUUCCACCUGGGGAGUACGCCGGCAACGGUGAAACUCAAAGGAAUUGACGGGGGCCCGCACAAGCGGUGGAGUAUGUGGUUUAAUUCGAAGCAACGCGAAGAACCUUACCAGGUCUUGACAUCCGAUGCAUAACACAGAGAUGUGUGAAAUCCUUCGGGACAUCGAGACAGGUGGUGCAUGGUUGUCGUCAGCUCGUGUCGUGAGAUGUUGGGUUAAGUCCCGCAACGAGCGCAACCCUUAUCCUUUGUUGCCAGCGGUCCGGCCGGGAACUCAAAGGAGACUGCCAGUGAUAAACUGGAGGAAGGUGGGGAUGACGUCAAAUCAGCACGGCCCUUACGUCCGGGGCUACACACGUGUUACAAUGGGGGGUACAGAGGGCCGCUACCACGCGAGUGGAUGCCAAUCCCAAAAACCUCUCUCAGUUCGGACUGGAGUCUGCAACCCGACUCCACGAAGCUGGAUUCGCUAGUAAUCGCGCAUCAGCCACGGCGCGGUGAAUACGUUCCCGGGCCUUGUACACACCGCCCGUCAAGCCAUGGGAGCCGGGGGUACCUGAAGUGCGUAACCGCGAGGAGCGCCCUAGGGUAAAACUGGUGACUGGGGCU